rnacentral:rRNA from 1 species
GAUUAAGUUAUUAAGGGCGCACGGUGGAUGCCUUGGCACUAGAAGCCGAUGAAGGACGUUACUAACGACGAUAUGCUUUGGGGAGCUGUAAGUAAGCUUUGAUCCAGAGAUUUCCGAAUGGGGAAACCCAGCAUGAGUUAUGUCAUGUUAUCGAUAUGUGAAUACAUAGCAUAUCAGAAGGCACACCCGGAGAACUGAAACAUCUUAGUACCCGGAGGAAGAGAAAGAAAAUUCGAUUCCCUUAGUAGCGGCGAGCGAAACGGGAAGAGCCCAAACCAACAAGCUUGCUUGUUGGGGUUGUAGGACACUCUAUACGGAGUUACAAAGGACGACAUUAGACGAAUCAUCUGGAAAGAUGAAUCAAAGAAGGUAAUAAUCCUGUAGUCGAAAAUGUUGUCUCUCUUGAGUGGAUCCUGAGUACGACGGAGCACGUGAAAUUCCGUCGGAAUCUGGGAGGACCAUCUCCUAAGGCUAAAUACUCUCUAGUGACCGAUAGUGAACCAGUACCGUGAGGGAAAGGUGAAAAGCACCCCGGAAGGGGAGUGAAAUAGAACCUGAAACCGUGUGCUUACAAGUAGUCAGAGCCCGUUAAUGGGUGAUGGUGUGCCUUUUGUAGAAUGAACCGGCGAGUUACGAUUUGAUGCAAGGUUAAGCAGUAAAUGUGGAGCCGUAGCGAAAGCGAGUCUGAAUAGGGCGUUUAGUAUUUGGUCGUAGACCCGAAACCAGGUGAUCUACCCUUGGUCAGGUUGAAGUUCAGGUAACACUGAAUGGAGGACCGAACCGACUUACGUUGAAAAGUGAGCGGAUGAACUGAGGGUAGCGGAGAAAUUCCAAUCGAACCUGGAGAUAGCUGGUUCUCUCCGAAAUAGCUUUAGGGCUAGCCUCAAGUGAUGAUUAUUGGAGGUAGAGCACUGUUUGGACGAGGGGCCCCUCUCGGGUUACCGAAUUCAGACAAACUCCGAAUGCCAAUUAAUUUAACUUGGGAGUCAGAACAUGGGUGAUAAGGUCCGUGUUCGAAAGGGAAACAGCCCAGACCACCAGCUAAGGUCCCAAAAUAUAUGUUAAGUGGAAAAGGAUGUGGCGUUGCCCAGACAACUAGGAUGUUGGCUUAGAAGCAGCCAUCAUUUAAAGAGUGCGUAAUAGCUCACUAGUCGAGUGACACUGCGCCGAAAAUGUACCGGGGCUAAACAUAUUACCGAAGCUGUGGAUUGUCCUUUGGACAAUGGUAGGAGAGCGUUCUAAGGGCGUUGAAGCAUGAUCGUAAGGACAUGUGGAGCGCUUAGAAGUGAGAAUGCCGGUGUGAGUAGCGAAAGACGGGUGAGAAUCCCGUCCACCGAUUGACUAAGGUUUCCAGAGGAAGGCUCGUCCGCUCUGGGUUAGUCGGGUCCUAAGCUGAGGCCGACAGGCGUAGGCGAUGGAUAACAGGUUGAUAUUCCUGUACCACCUAUAAUCGUUUUAAUCGAUGGGGGGACGCAGUAGGAUAGGCGAAGCGUGCGAUUGGAUUGCACGUCUAAGCAGUAAGGCUGAGUAUUAGGCAAAUCCGGUACUCGUUAAGGCUGAGCUGUGAUGGGGAGAAGACAUUGUGUCUUCGAGUCGUUGAUUUCACACUGCCGAGAAAAGCCUCUAGAUAGAAAAUAGGUGCCCGUACCGCAAACCGACACAGGUAGUCAAGAUGAGAAUUCUAAGGUGAGCGAGCGAACUCUCGUUAAGGAACUCGGCAAAAUGACCCCGUAACUUCGGGAGAAGGGGUGCUCUUUAGGGUUAACGCCCAGAAGAGCCGCAGUGAAUAGGCCCAAGCGACUGUUUAUCAAAAACACAGGUCUCUGCUAAACCGUAAGGUGAUGUAUAGGGGCUGACGCCUGCCCGGUGCUGGAAGGUUAAGAGGAGUGGUUAGCUUCUGCGAAGCUACGAAUCGAAGCCCCAGUAAACGGCGGCCGUAACUAUAACGGUCCUAAGGUAGCGAAAUUCCUUGUCGGGUAAGUUCCGACCCGCACGAAAGGCGUAACGAUUUGGGCACUGUCUCAACGAGAGACUCGGUGAAAUCAUAGUACCUGUGAAGAUGCAGGUUACCCGCGACAGGACGGAAAGACCCCGUGGAGCUUUACUGUAGCCUGAUAUUGAAAUUCGGCACAGCUUGUACAGGAUAGGUAGGAGCCUUUGAAACGUGAGCGCUAGCUUAUGUGGAGGCGCUGGUGGGAUACUACCCUAGCUGUGUUGGCUUUCUAACCCGCACCACUCAUCGUGGUGGGAGACAGUGUCAGGCGGGCAGUUUGACUGGGGCGGUCGCCUCCUAAAAGGUAACGGAGGCGCUCAAAGGUUCCCUCAGAAUGGUUGGAAAUCAUUCAUAGAGUGUAAAGGCAUAAGGGAGCUUGACUGCAAGACCUACAAGUCGAGCAGGGUCGAAAGACGGACUUAGUGAUCCGGUGGUUCCGCAUGGAAGGGCCAUCGCUCAACGGAUAAAAGCUACCCCGGGGAUAACAGGCUUAUCUCCCCCAAGAGUUCACAUCGACGGGGAGGUUUGGCACCUCGAUGUCGGCUCAUCGCAUCCUGGGGCUGUAGUCGGUCCCAAGGGUUGGGCUGUUCGCCCAUUAAAGCGGUACGCGAGCUGGGUUCAGAACGUCGUGAGACAGUUCGGUCCCUAUCCGUCGUGGGCGUAGGAAAUUUGAGAGGAGCUGUCCUUAGUACGAGAGGACCGGGAUGGACAUACCUCUGGUGUACCAGUUGUCGUGCCAACGGCAUAGCUGGGUAGCUAUGUGUGGACGGGAUAAGUGCUGAAAGCAUCUAAGCAUGAAGCCCCCCUCAAGAUGAGAUUUCCCAACUUCGGUUAUAAGAUCCCUCAAAGAUGAUGAGGUUAAUAGGUUCGAGGUGGAAGCAUGGUGACAUGUGGAGCUGACGAAUACUAAUCGAUCGAAGACUUAAUCAA